UAAACAAAACAGAUAAUGGUACAUACCGCUGUGAAGCUUCAAACAUAGUGGGGAAAGCUCACUCGGAUUAUAUGCUGUAUGUAUACGAUCCCCCCACAACUAUCCCUCCUCCCACAACAACCACCACCACCACCACCACCACCACCACCAUCCUUACCAUCAUCACAGCUCAAGACACAACGGCGACGACAGAACCAGCAGUUCACGGCCUUACUCAGUUGCCCAAUUCCGCAGAAGAACUGGACAGUGAGGACCUCUCAGGUAAGGGCUAGUCAUUAGGUAAGGCACUGCAGUGUCCAACCUGUGGGUGCUCUAUCCACUUCUACAAAAUGGCCAUUUGGUUUGCUGAGCAAUCAGUGUGGAUUUUGAGACUAACACAAAACAAAUUUGUAUCAAUACUGUCUUCCUCCCCGGUCACCCACUCACCUGUUUUCUCUGUGGUAGUGAUAUUUAUAUUUCAGAAUGGGGACAAUUUAAUUAAUGCAGGAGAGGACAAGUUACCUUUGGGAUUGUACUAAAGCCCCUCUGUUCAGUGGCUUC
rnacentral:sRNA from 1 species